rnacentral:rRNA from 1 species
CAAGUCGCGCGCGAAGGGGCUUCGGCUCCGAGUAGAGCGGCGGACGGGUGAGUAACACGUGGGUAAUCUGUCUGGGAGCGGGGGACAACCUGGGGAAACUUGGGCUAAUACCGCAUACGACCGCGGGGCUUCGGCUCCGCGAGGAAAGGUGGCCUCUGCUUGCAAGCUACCACUCCCAGAGGAGCCCGCGCCGGAUUAGCUAGUUGGUGAGGUAACGGCUCACCAAGGCGACGAUCCGUAGCCGGCCUGAGAGGGCGAUCGGCCACACUGGAACUGAGACACGGUCCAGACUCCUACGGGAGGCAGCAGUGAGGAAUCUUGCGCAAUGGGCGAAAGCCUGACGCAGCAACGCCGCGUGGAGGAUGAAGGUCUUCGGAUUGUAAACUCCUGUCAGAGGGGACGAACGCUUGCGGGCUAAUCACCGCAAGCUUGACGGUACCCUCAGAGGAAGCCACGGCUAACUCUGUGCCAGCAGCCGCGGUAAUACAGAGGUGGCGAGCGUUAUUCGGAAUUAUUGGGCGUAAAGGGCGCGUAGGCGGCCAAGCAAGUCCUGGGUGAAAUCCCUCGGCUCAACCGAGGAACUGCCUCGGAAACUGCAUGGCUCGAGGCCGGGAGAGGGUAGCGGAAUUCCCAGUGUAGCGGUGAGAUGCGUAGAUAUUGGGAGGAACACCGGUGGCGAAGGCGGCUACCUGGACCGGUUCUGAC